rnacentral:rRNA from 1 species
GGACCAUCCUCCAAGGCUAAAUACUCCUGACUGACCGAUAGUGAACCAGUACCGUGAGGGAAAGGCGAAAAGAACCCCGGCGAGGGGAGUGAAAAAGAACCUGAAACCGUGUACGUACAAGCAGUGGGAGCACGCUUAGGCGUGUGACUGCGUACCUUUUGUAUAAUGGGUCAGCGACUUAUAUUCUGUAGCAAGGUUAACCGAAUAGGGGAGCCGAAGGGAAACCGAGUCUUAACUGGGCGUUAAGUUGCAGGGUAUAGACCCGAAACCCGGUGAUCUAGCCAUGGGCAGGUUGAAGGUUGGGUAACACUAACUGGAGGACCGAACCGACUAAUGUUGAAAAAUUAGCGGAUGACUUGUGGCUGGGGGUGAAAGGCCAAUCAAACCGGGAGAUAGCUGGUUCUCCCCGAAAGCUAUUUAGGUAGCGCCUCGUGAAUUCAUCUCCGGGGGUAGAGCACUGUUUCGGCAAGGGGGUCAUCCCGACUUACCAACCCGAUGCAAACUGCGAAUACCGGAGAAUGUUAUCACGGGAGACACACGGCGGGUGCUAACGUCCGUCGUGAAGAGGGAAACAACCCAGACCGCCAGCUAAGGUCCCAAAGUCAUGGUUAAGUGGGAAACGAUGUGGGAAGGCCCAGACAGCCAGGAUGUUGGCUUAGAAGCAGCCAUCAUUUAAAGAAAGCGUAAUAGCUCACUGGUCGAGUCGGCCUGCGCG